GGAGUGUACAGCUCAGUUGUAGAGCACAUGCUUAGCAUGCACAAGGUCCUGGGUUCAAUCCCCAGUACCUCUG
rfam:Camelus ferus unplaced genomic scaffold scaffold757, whole genome shotgun sequence.